GCUUAACACAUGCAAGUCGAGCGAGAAUCGUUUUGCUGAAGGCUUCGGUCUGACGCAGAAUGAGGAAAGCGGCGAACGGGUGAGUAACGCGUGGGCAACCUGGCCUUAAGAAAAGGAUAGCCCCCGGAAACGGGGAGUAAUACUUUAUGAGAAUAGAAAAGGGCAUCCUAUUUCUAUUCAAAGCGCAAGCGCUUAAGGAUGGGCCCGCGUAUCAUUAGCUAGUUGGUGAGAUAACAGCCCACCAAGGCAACGAUGAUUAGCCGGUCUGAGAGGGCGAACGGCCACAUUGGAACUGAGAGACGGUCCAAACUCCUACGGGAGGCAGCAGUGGGGAAUAUUGCGCAAUGGAGAAGAACUCUGACGCAGCAAUACCGCGUGAGCGAAGAAGGUCUUCGGAUCGUAAAGCUCUGUUAUCAGGGAAGAAGAAAAUGACGGUACCUGAUGAGCAAGUCCCGGCUAACUACGUGCCAGCAGCCGCCGUAAGAC
rnacentral:rRNA from 1 species